AAAUGAAGGAAUCAUGGUUGUGUGCACGCAAAUUGAUAUCGUUAGGUCCGCAUGUCUGCUCUCUCUGAUUCCUGAAUUGAUUUGAGGGCCUGGUAACGACCUACAUUU